rnacentral:lncRNA from 1 species
UGUGUGUGUUAGAUAGGGCUGAUUUGCCUGGCUGAAGACACAAAGCAGGAUUAUAAAGCCACUAGGGUUAGAGUUAUGGGUAGAGCAGGGCCCACCAGACACAGUAUGGAGAGAGAGAUAGAGAGAGAGGUAGAGAGAGGGAAAGGUAGAGAGAGAGAGAGAGGUAGAGAGAGGGGGAGGUAGAGAGAGGGAGAGGUAGAGAGAGAGAGGUAGAGAGAGGGGGAGGUAGAGAGAGAGAGAGAGGUAGAGAGGUAGAGAGAGGGGGAGGUAGAGAGAGAGGUAGAGAGAGGUAGAGAGAGCGAGGUAGAGAGAGAGAGAGAGAGAGUUAGGGGUAGAGCAGGGCCCACCAGACACAGUAUGGAGAGAGAGAUAGAGAGAGAGAGAGGGAGAGGUAGAGAGAGGUAGAGAGAGAGGUAGAGAGAGAGAGGUAGAGGUAGAGAGAAAGGUAGAGAGAGAGAGAGAGAGAGAGAGAGAGGUAGAGAGAGUUAGGGGUAGAGCAGGGCCCACCAGACACAGUAUAGAGAGAGAGAGAGGUAGAGAGAGAGAGGUAGAGAGAGAGGUAGGUAGAGAGAGAGGUAGAGAGAGAGAGAGGGAGGUAGAGAGAGGUAGAGAGAGGGAGGUAGAGAGGUAGAGAGAGAGGUAGAGAGAGAGGUAGAGAGGUAGAGAGGGAGGUAGAGAGGUAGAGAGGUAGAGAGAGAGGUAGAGAGGUAGAGAGGUAGAGAGAGAGGUAGGGGUAGAGCAGGGCCCACCAGACACAGUAUGGAGAGUGGGAGGUAGAGAGAGAGAGGUAGAGAGAGAGGUAGGUAGAGAGAGAGGUAGAGAGAGAGACAGACAGGGAGAGAACAGGUCAUCCAGCCUUUCAGUUCCUCCACCCUCACAUGCUAUGACAUCUUCUGGUUUCAAUGAUGUUUCUAGAGACAAUAUCUCUCUCAUCGUCACUCAAUGCCCAGGUUCACCUCCACUGUAUUCACAUCCUGCCAUACCUUUGUCUGUACAUUAUACCUCAAAGCUAUUUUAUCGCCCCC